rnacentral:rRNA from 1 species
GAUGAACGCUGGCGGCGUGCCUAAUACAUGCAAGUCGAGCGAACGGACGAGAAGCUUGCUUCUCUGAUGUUAGCGGCGGACGGGUGAGUAACACGUGGAUAACCUACCUAUAAGACUGGGAUAACUUCGGGAAACCGGAGCUAAUACCGGAUAAUAUUUUGAACCGCAUGGUUCAAAAGUGAAAGACGGUCUUGCUGUCACUUAUAGAUGGAUCCGCGCUGCAUUAGCUAGUUGGUAAGGUAACGGCUUACCAAGGCAACGAUGCAUAGCCGACCUGAGAGGGUGAUCGGCCACACGGGAACUGAGACACGGUCCAGACUCCUACGGGAGGCAGCAGUAGGGAAUCGUCCGCAAUGGGCGAAAGCCUGACGGAGCAACGCCGCGUGAGUGAUGAAGGUCUUCGGAGCGUAAAACUCUGUUAUUAGGGAAGAACAUAUGUGUAAGUAACUGUGCACAUCUUGACGGUACCUAAUCAGAAAGCCACGGCUAACUACGUG